UCCUGUUACACUCACAACUGUUGGAAAGCCGCUGCAGUGAGACUCACUCUUCAUGUUGCCUUUACAAUAUGCUCUUUAUAUAUUCCGCCUUCUUCAACACUCCAGCAGGCUGAUCUUCAAGCUCUAUG